rnacentral:lncRNA from 1 species
UAGACAUUCAAAUCAGAUGGAGAGGGACUGCGGUGGUUUCAGUGGUGGGGGUCCCUUGUUACAGGGAAACAAGGAGUCAGCUCCAAAUCUUGAAAAGGGAGAGAACCUCUGUUUGAGGGUUCAGCUGUGUGUCAGGCCCUGAAGCAAGUCUUCUCGAUCAAUAACGGAUAAUGAUCAUAAAUGAAGCUUGCCAGGUGAUGAAUAUAUGCUAGGCACUGGGUUAAGUACUCCAUGCCCAUUGAAUUCAUGCCCUAUUUUACAGAAGAAGAAAAAGGCUUAAUGGACAUGUGUCUUUGGUGUAAGCCACCUCACAUCUUUUGGAAAGUAGUCAGGAGUAAAAGUAACAUAUGGCUCAUGAGUUUGAUCCAGCCAAGGUCUGAGUGCCAGUGACAUCAAGUCUCACCACAAAGUGUCACAGUCCCCAGCCUUCCAGCUACAGGCAGCGACUACAUUGGGAGAUCUGAGGGACAGACAACACCCAGAGCCUUCAGGUAAAUUCAGGAAGUGUGCUCCAGCAUGGCGCCCCUCAGAAUCCCUCU